UACGAAGGGGGCUAGCGUUGUUCGGAAUCACUGGGCGUAAAGGGCGCGUAGGCGGCUUUGUAAGUCGGGGGUGAAAGCCUGUGGCUCAACCACAGAAUUGCCUUCGAUACUGCAUGGCUUGAGACCGGAAGAGGUAAGUGGAACUGCGAGUGUAGAGGUGAAAUUCGUAGAUAUUCGCAAGAACACCAGUGGCGAAGGCGGCUUACUGGUCCGGUUCUGACGCUGAGGCGCGAAAGCGUGGGGAGCAACAGG
rnacentral:rRNA from 1 species